UGGAAGUAACAGUUUACUGUAACGGAAAGACCUGUCUUAGUGGCGGACGGGUGAGUAACGCGUGGGCAACCUGCCCUGUACCGGGGGAUAACACUUAGAAAUAGGUGCUAAUACCGCAUAAUAAGGAAGACCGCAUGGUGAUCCUUUGAAAACUCCGGUGGUACAGGAUGGGCCCGCGUCUGAUUAGCCAGUUGGCGGGGUAACGGCCCACCAAAGCGACGAUCAGCAGCCGGCCUGAGAGGGUGGACGGCCACACUGGGACUGAGACACGGCCCAGACUCCUACGGGAGGCAGCAGUGGGGAAUAUUGCACAAUGGGGGGAACCCUGAUGCAGCGACGCCGCGUGAGUGAAGAAGUAUUUCGGUAUGUAAAGCUCUGUCGGCAGGGAAGAAGAAAGACGGUACCUGACCAAGAAGCCCCGGCUAACUACGUGCCAGCAGCCGCGGUAAUACGUAGGGGGCAAGCGUUAUCCGGAUUUACUGGGUGUAAAGGGAGCGUAGACGGCAGGGCAAGUCUGGAGUGAAAGGCAGGGGCCCAACCCCUGGACUGCUCUGGAAACUGUCCGGCUGGAGUGCAGGAGAGGUAAGUGGAAUUCCUAGUGUAGCGGUGAAAUGCGUAGAUAUUAGGAGGAACACCAGUGGCGAAGGCGGCUUACUGGACUGUAACUGACGUUGAGGCUCGAAAGCGUGGGGAGCGAACAGGAUUAGAUACCCUGGUAGUCCACGCCGUAAACGAUGAUCACCAGGUGUCGGGGGUUAACAGACCCCCGGUGCCGAAGCCAACGCAUUAAGUGAUCCACCUGGGGAGUACGUUCGCAAGA
rnacentral:rRNA from 1 species